rnacentral:rRNA from 1 species
GACGAACGCUGGCGGCGUGCUUAACACAUGCCAGUCGAACGGAAAGGCCCUGCUUUUGUGGGGUGCUCGAGUGGCGAACGGGUGAGUAACACGUGAGUAACCUGCCCUUGACUUUGGGAUAACUUCAGGAAACUGGGGCUAAUACCGGAUAGGAGCUCCUGCUGCAUGGUGGGGGUUGGAAAGUUUCGGCGGUUGGGGAUGGACUCGCGGCUUAUCAGCUUGUUGGUGGGGUAGUGGCUUACCAAGGCUUUGACGGGUAGCCGGCCUGAGAGGGUGACCGGCCACAUUGGGACUGAGAUACGGCCCAGACUCCUACGGGAGGCAGCAGUGGGGAAUAUUGCACAAUGGGCGGAAGCCUGAUGCAGCAACGCCGCGUGCGGGAUGACGGCCUUCGGGUUGAAAACCGCUUUCGCCUGUGACGAAGCGUGAGUGACGGUAAUGGGUAAAGAAGCACCGGCUAACUACGUG